rnacentral:sRNA from 1 species
AACUUCCGUGACUUUUUUCAUUUUGCAAACCAUUAAUAGACAUACUGUAUAUGUACAUAGCUUUUAAGCUGUUUGUAUACGAUACAACGGCUGCAUGAGAGCAUGUGUACGUGUGAGGCAUACAAUCUCAUUUCACUCAACAUUCCUAUGCUGCACAGAAUAUCAACUCCAUUUAGCUUACGUUGGCACAAGCGAGAUAGCACAACUAAUUUAAUGACAAAGCAUGAAGCGAUACAGACAUAAAUGCUGCAUUUGCAGUCGCUGCAUCGUUUACAACCAGCUUUGUGGUGCGAUGACAUUAGACUUUGCUAACUGAAAAAACAGAGAUAUGUACAUAUCUUUAUAGGAAAACCAUACAGUGAGAGCGGUAUAAAUACAUACAUAUGUAUUAGCUUGGCUUUCCAGUUUAGCAAAGUCUAGUUUCAUAUGACUAUAAACACAAGACAGUGUAACCGUAGUGCAUUAACACCUGGUCACACCCUUACCCCUAGCAAAAUAUGUAGUACGACUUCUAGUCGGUGAAAAUUUUAUUCGAUCUGACUACUAGGUUUACAACACAAGCUUACCAAGCUGGCAAAAAAACAUUUGACUAGUGUCACAUGAGAAAAAUUCCUUUACUUCUACUGUUCCUGUCUGAGAGAGUGUGUGAAGGGAGAGAUCACGUUAUAUUUCAGUUUGAUAUCACUGGAAACAAACAAUUCGGUUGCUUUAGCUACAAGACCAUCGGAAAACUAGGCUUAAGCAAUUUUAUAUCGAUUUGGAUACUGACGCUGAUCUUACAUAACCCACCAUGCGAAAGCGGUGAUUUUUUAAUCUGAACGAUAUUAUUUUCGUUCAUGAAUCAUGAACUGGCUCACAUACAUACAAAUGUACGUAUUUAAAAUGAGAACACCACAUCAAUAGUGUCGACACAUACACAACAUGCUUUAUGACUCAUUACAAAGAAAGUAAUGUUAGUGAAAUCAAGAAAUGAUUAUUAUGUUGUGAAAUGGUUAAUCCAUUAGGUGUGGUGAACAUGUAAUGGUGUGGUAGCAGAAGAAAAUGGCGAAAUGUUAGUCCAAAUAAUAAUUUAGAAAAAAAUCGAAGUUUUGAUAGAAAAAUUUGCGGGGGCGGUGGCACUUGUGAAGCUACAAAUAAAAAAAGAGCCAAAAGUAGCAGAAAAUUACAUAAUCGACGACGGAGUUGGAGCAUUUCAACUCGAUAAUAACUCCGGAGCGCACCGAUUUCUUUACUAACAAAUUACGGAACGUAAUAGGGACGAGCCCAUCAAUGUCAAGAAGUUUAAAAAAUAUGGUGCACGAGAGGAUUAUUUUGGAGUAAAAUUUAUUUGGAACUUCGGGGAAGAGUUCCCUUGGAAGUUUCAAGGAAUUUUAUAAUGUCCUGGAAAAAAUACUUAAAAAAACAUAAUAAUUGAUUAAUUAAUCCAUAUUACUUCAGCGGCGGUG